GUGCUCACUUCAGCAGCACAUAUACUAAAAUGGAAAGGAUUCAGAAAAGAUUAGCAUGGCCCCUGCACAAGGAUGACAUGCAAAUUCGUGAAGCAUUCCAUAUUAAA
rnacentral:snRNA from 1 species